rnacentral:rRNA from 1 species
UACGUAGGGGGCUAGCGUUGUCCGGAAUCAUUGGGCGUAAAGCGCGUGUAGGCGGUCCGGUAAGUCCGCUGUGAAAGUCGAGGGCUCAACCCUCGAAUGCCGGUGGAUACUGUCGGGCUAGAGUGCGGAAGAGGCGAGUGGAAUUCCUGGUGUAGCGGUGAAAUGCGCAGAUAUCAGGAGGAACACCUAUUGCGAAGGCAGCUCGCUGGGACGUAACUGACGCUGAGACGCGAAAGCGUGGGGGAGCAAACAGG